CUAGCGUUGCUCGGAAUUACUGGGCGUAAAGCGCACGUAGGCGGCUUUCUAAGUCGGGGGUGAAAUCCUGGAGCUCAACUCCAGAACUGCCUUCGAUACUGGAGAGCUCGAGUCCGGGAGAGGUGAGUGGAACUGCGAGUGUAGAGGUGAAAUUCGUAGAUAUUCGCAAGAACACCAGUGGCGAAGGCGGCUCACUGGCCCGAUACUGACGCUGAGGUGCGAAAGCGUGGGGAGCAAACAGG
rnacentral:rRNA from 1 species